CUUUCUUUCUUUCUUUCUUUCUUUCUUUCUUUCUUUCUUUCUUUCUUUCUUUCUUUCUUUCUUCUUUUUUUCGUGUUUGAGGACUGUCACGAUGAGCUCCUGGUCCUUCUUUUGCAUUUGGAUGGCUUGGAGGGUGAUUCUGCAAAGACAUAAAAAGAGACACAGUAAAAGCAUUCUGCUUCCCAAAGUUAUCCAGAAUUUGAGAUGGGUGCUAGCCGUAAGUGAGAAAGGAUUUAGGUCGCGCCACAUUUCCCAGGAAUCAGCCCAUUCAUUUUUAAGCUGAUCCUCUGCGUAUUGUAGCUGUUAGCGCAAAGUCAUAUCUAAAUCUUCUAUAUUGUCAGAGAGAUAGGAAGACAGGACACUGCGAAGGUGUGUCUGGACAGCAUCCAAAGCUUGGGAGUGAUUAGAAGGAAUGCCAGUCAUGCAGAUAUGCUGGUAGAAUCACAGGGCAGUUUAGAGUGGAGGAACAAGUACUCUUGUCUUUUCCAAAUAAAUUCCAUUGCAGCCUCAAGAGCUUUGAGGUGGGCCAAAGCUUGUUUAUCAAUGGGAGUUUGGCUUAUAAAUUCUUUGGUAGUGUUGACUAUAAAUUUAUUAGGGACAUGGAACGUUUGGAUAGUAUGAUGCAGAUUGACUGCAGUUACAGUGGCAGAGGUGAUAAUACCUACUGCUGUGAGGAUGCCCAUGAUUAACAGGCCAAAAAAAAUUUUUUUUUCCUUACAGCAGAGUGCCAGGGUUGAAUAAGCUUGGAAAGUGCACCUAGUCCUGAUGGAUGUAUAUAUGGUACAGUGCUAUUAACAGGAACCCAGGUUGAGAUGCAGGGCAAGGACUUGCAUUUGUGGAGUGGCUUCAGGAUGAGGAGUCCAUGAAGAGGCUUCUUCCAUCUUGAAAAAAGGGGGCCAGUGGCUGCUCACUCAGAGUCAUUCUCUGGAAGUGUUGGUUCAUUGGAAGAUAUCCUGGAGGUCUCCAUGAUGCCAUGGAACCACGCAAAUGUGGAGGAUUUGGAGGCUGGCAUGAAGAGUAUUGUUAUCAUUUUCCCAGCCUUUGGAUCAAAGGAGGAGGAAUCUUUAUCUUAACCCUGUGUACUUUUAAAAACCAUUUAUUUUAACCUUAGUCCAUCCUGACCACACAUAAAAUUCCUUUUUAAAGAUUUUCCCUCAUGAACCUUUUACAACUUUUCUUUGCACUUAGAUUUUGUCCCAACCCAUUUUUCUCAAAAUAGCCAGUUUCAUUUAAGACAAAAUUACUUUAUUUUGCCUUUAACAAAAAUAUAUUUCCAUUUCUUAUAUCUUUCUUUUGUAUCUCCUACUUUUCCACAUAACAGAGUUGCUUUUGUGGUUUUUUUGCCCCAGUUUUAACUACACUUAGCAGAAUUUUAACUCUUAGAAACUUUAGUCUCCAGUGAAAACCUAAGUAGUGACCAAUUGUGAAUUAUCUGUUACAUGAGAAAAAUUUUGGGGGGACACCUGGGUGGCUCAGUCAGUUAAGGGUCAGACUUCAGCUCGUCAUGAUCUCACAGUUCAUGAGUUCAAGCACCACAUCAGGCUCUGUGCUGACAACUUGGAGCCUAGAGCCUGCUAUGGAUUCUGUGUCUCCCUCUCUCUCUGCCCCUUCCUGAUCACAUUCUGUCUCUCUCUCUCAAAAAUAAAUAAACCUUAAAAAAAAAUUGGGGGCACCUGUGUGGCUCAGUCAGUUAAGCAACUGACUUCAGCUCAGGUCAUGAUCUCAUGGUUCUUGGGUUCAAGCCCCAUGUCAGGCUCUGUGCUGACAGGUUAGAGCCUGGAGCCUGCUUCAGAUUUUGUGACUCCGUCUCUCUCUGUCUCUCCCCUGUUAGUUCUCUCUGUCUCUCAAAAAUAAAUAAACGUUAAAAAAUUUUUUAAAAAAUUAAAAAAAAUAUUUUUAGGUGGUAGACUUAUGAAUCCAUUAAGCAUAAAGCAUGGAUUUCAAUAUUCUCAGUUUAUUUAUUUAUUCAUUUAUUUAUUAUAAGAAGUCAGAAGCAUAAACCUAUUUAGUAAGCAAUGCUUCAGCAUUCCAUUAGAUUUGAAAGAGGCCUAAAUGUCCAAAGAACUUAAUUCAAUUUACCAUUUAAGCAAAACGUUAAAGUUUUAGGUUACCAAAGACCCUGAAAUCUGUCUUAACAAUUAUCCAUGAAAACUAUGAGGCAAAGGUAACCAUUAAGUCAUCCGUUUGCUAACAAAUUGGAACAGAGAUAAAGUGAGCUUAUUUGACCUGUAGUCAACCUUAGUAGAAUAAAGUUCUAUAAUUUAAAAGACAUGCCUGUCUUAAUAAUAUUUUAUCUGUGCCCCCUUGAAAGUUUACCAUUGUUAAUUUUUUCCCCCAUGGAACCAGUGAGGAAAUUUAAAGUUUAAGGGGGUGUUUUUUGCCUUUUGACAGAGUGGGGAGCAAGGAGCAGCAUGUUGUCUGAGGCAUUGAAGAGCCAGAUUUGCAGGCCACACCCCAGGCAGUGCAGAAACAGGAGGAAGGGGAAGGGAAGGCAGAAAAGGUGAGGUGCUGCCUAGAGGCCAGAAGGCAGACUGAGGCACCGAGGGCAGAGAAAAGAGUUCACGUAGUCCUAAAGCCUAUCACCUCAGAUAGAUGAGCAGAUACUGAUUCUUGUUUUGUUUUGUAUUAUUUGUUUUGUUUUGUUUUGUUUUGUUGUGUUUUCCACUAGUGGAAUUAGGCAGUCCAUGUUGGGCCAGAGAAGACAGGGAAGUUCCCUGAAACAAACGGAGUUUCAGCAGCUGCUUGGGAAUAUUCCUUAAAAUCUCUAUCCUGAGGUAGACUAGCCAGAGACAGUCGGCUUAUCAUGGUUAUUAAUCCAGGGAAUGAAUGAGGGAGAAGCCCUCACAUAUAGUUAGAGUAAUAAGAGUGUAUAGAGAAAAACAGUAAGAGAGAGAGUGUUAGAAUCCCCUAUAUUAGGGAUGGCCUGUGUAAAAUCUACUGCACUAUUUCAGUGCAUUGUUUUACUUGACAGUGAUUGGAAGUUGGGCUCACUGCCUUGUUUGGGGAUACUGCCCCUUGUCAGACAGUUGUUUAAAAGACACCUGAAUAGCAGUGACAAAGUUCUGCAAAGCAUGAGUCAUGCAAGCAUCAUUAAACUCUUGAGCACAGAUAGCAUACUGGGGUGGGGUCCGAAUGAUGCUCAUAAGAGAGCCCCAGUCCCAGGCAUACAUGGAAUGAGUGCCACAAAUAUUUUCUAAAAUACCGAUUGUAAAAGGGCUGU